rnacentral:rRNA from 1 species
UACGGGGGGAGCAAGCGUUGUUCGGAUUUACUGGGCGUAAAGGGCGCGUAGGCGGUCAGCACAAGUCAGUUGUGAAAUCUCCGGGCUUAACUCGGAAAGGUCAACUGAUACUGUGCGACUAGAGUGCAGAAGGGGCAACUGGAAUUCUCGGUGUAGCAGUGAAAUGCGUAGAGAUCGGGAGGAACACCGGUGGCGAAGGCGGGUCUCUGGGCAUUCCCUGACGCUGAGGCGCGAAAGCGUGGGGAGCAAACGGG